UUCGGAAAAAUGCACUUUCUGCAUUUUAUUUUAAUUCUUUAUUCUCAUUUCCAAUAAGACAGAACCUAGCCAAUUAAAUGACUUCAAGCAACUAAAGGUCACCGAACGGACUACCAACAUGCUCAAAACCCAUACUGUAUAGUCAGCGAAUAAAAGUCCCGAUAUGACCAAAUCUAACACCCUGGUGUAUAUCAAAACAACAAACAAAUAACAAAUCUUACAGACAGCAACCAACGCGAACCACUGAAUUACAUUCCAUUGACUUUGGAAUUGUUUUUCUGUUAAUGUUUUUCCAUUAUUUACGUAUUCAAUAAACUAUGUAUUUAUAUAUUUGAGAAUUAUACUGAUAAUACAUAUAACUGUUAAUUCAAGUCUGAUUAUCGGUAGCAAUCAAUUAUUUUUUCAGAAAACAACUGGCAAAUUGCAAAGGAACUUUCACUGCUUUACUGAUAUGUUUCUUAUUGAUAGAGAAAACCCAAGCAGCUGUGUGUGGAAAUAGAUGGUAUGAUUAACAUGAUCAAGCUUACAACACCUGCUGCAAUCGUGUAUUGAAUAACAUAAAAGAGCGUUCGUGCUGUGGAACAGUAGCGUAUGAUCGAGCUUACAAAACCUGCUGCAAUGGUGUAUUGAAUCAUAAAUGGGAGCGUUCUUGCUGUGGUACAGUUGCGUAUAAUCCAGCAUACAAAUCCUGCUGCAAUGAUGUAUUGAACCACAAAAAAGAGCGUUCAUGCUGUGGAACAAAAACGUAUGAUCGAGCUUACAACACCUGUUGCAAUGGUGUAUUGAAUCGUGCAUGGGAGCGUUCGUGCUGUGGAACAAUAGCAUAUCAUUCAGCUUUCAAAAGAUGUUGCAAUGGCGUUUUGUGCUAGAUGGAAAUUGCAAAAUUUAAUUAUUUUGUAAGAAAAUGUAAGGUUCAACCAGUUCAGAUUCUCGAGACUUUUUUCAAGCUAGAUUUCUACAUAAGAAAAUGCCUGUACCAAGCCAGGAAUAUGACAGUUGUUAUCCAUUCGUUUGAUGUGUUUGAGCUUUUGAUUUUGCCAUUUACUUAGGGAAUUCCUUUUUGAAUUUUCCUCGGAGUUCAGUAUUUUUGUGAUUUUACUUUUUUGGUAGACGAUAUACUUUUGAUAAUGAUAGCAUAAAUUCUUGUGAUGAACUGAUACAA